CGCGUAGGCGGCCGAUUAAGUCGGGGGUGAAAGCCUGUGGCGUCAACCACAGAAUUGCCUUCGAUACUGGUUGGCUUGAGACCGGAAGAGGACAGCGGAACUGCGAGUGUAGAGGUGAAAUUCGUAGAUAUUCGCAAGAACACCAGUGGCGAAGGCGGCUGUCUGGUCCGGUUCUGACGCUGAGGCGCGAAAGCGUGGGGAGCAAACA
rnacentral:rRNA from 1 species